CAUGCAAUAUAGCUUUAUGAGAAAUCUCUUCUUUGAACAGAAAAUUACUGUAUGUGAUGUUCCAAAAAAACUAAUUCUAGUUGUUUGAUAGUCAUUCAGAUUUUCUAUAUCCUUAAUGAUUUUUGGUAUACUUCUAUUGAUUGCUGAGAAAUAAAUGUAGAAAUCCUCACAUAUAAGUAUAGAUUUACUUAUUUAUCCUUUUAAAACCCAAUUUUGAUCUAUCUGAAACACUAUAAUUAGGAUAAAUAUUUUGUUUUAAUAGGUGUUCCUGAUAAAUGGAUCUUUUUAUCUUUUUAUCAAAUUUUCUUUGGUAUUUUGGUCUGGUCCACAGUCCUCCACUCUACCAGAAGUGAACACAUUGGAUGUUGCUGAACUGAAAUAUGUUAAGGAAAGAGAGUGCACAGCAAAACUGGCUGAUUCUCAGGAUGCUGGUAGAAGAAAAGUCUUCCCUCAUGUACAGAGGGAAGGAACACACCGAGUUAGCCUGAGACCUUCUCUGGGAGGAAAAAACAGGAUAAAGUAAAGGAAACGUGAGGGCUUGCUGAAAAGAAGAAAAAAUGCUCAAAAUUAAAUCCAUUAAACAACAAAAUUUAAAGUCAGAACAAAAAUCUGUUGUUAUUUGGGAAGUCUCUGAGUUGUGACAACACAUUCCAAUCACCCGCAGAGGUCAUUGAAAAUACAGCCAUCCUGGGCUGGGGAUUUAGCUCAGUGGUUUCACCACCUGCUGCACAAGCGCAAGGACCCAAGUUCGAUCCCUGGUACCUCCCACCCCCCCACAAAAAAAUACAGUGAUCGAGAUUUUCCUG
ensembl:lncRNA